CCCUUAGAUGUUCUGGGCUGCACGCGCGCUACACUGAUGCACUCAACGAGUUUACGACCUUGCCCGAUAGGGUUGGGUAAUCUCUUUAAAAUGCAUCGUGAUGGGGAUAGAUUAUUGCAAUUAUUAAUCUUCAACGAGGAAUUCCUAGUAAGCGCGAGUCAUCAGCUCGUGCUGAUUACGUCCCUGCCCUUUGUACACACCGCCCGUCGCUCCUACCGAUUGAGUGCUCAGGUGAAUAAUUCGGACUGCAGCAAUGUUUGGAUCCCGAACGUUGCAGCGGAAAGUUUAGUGAACCUUAUCACUUAGAGGAAGGAGAAGUCGUAACA
rnacentral:rRNA from 1 species